rnacentral:rRNA from 1 species
GGGGAAUUUUGGACAAUGGGCGCAAGCCUGAUCCAGCAAUGCCGCGUGAGUGAAGAAGGCCUUCGGGUUGUAAAGCUCUUCUGUCAGGGAAGAAACGGUUCCGGCUAAUAUCUGGAGCUAAUGACGGUACCUGAAGAAUAAGCACCGGCUAACUACGUGCCAGCAGCCGCGGUAAUACGUAGGGUGCAAGCGUUAAUCGGAAUUACUGGGCGUAAAGCGUGCGCAGGCGGUUUUGUAAGUCUGUCGUGAAAGCCCCGGGCUCAACCUGGGAAUUGCGAUGGAGACUGCAAGGCUUGAAUCUGGCAGAGGGGGGUAGAAUUCCACGUGUAGCAGUGAAAUGCGUAGAGAUGUGGAGGAACACCGAUGGCGAAGGCAGCCCCCUGGGUCAAGAUUGACGCUCAUGCACGAAAGCGUGGGGAGCAAAC